GAUGAACGCUGGCGGCGUGCCUAAUACAUGCAAGUAGAACGCUGAAGCUUGGUGCUUGCACCGAGCGGAUGAGUUGCGAACGGGUGAGUAACGCGUAGGUAACCUGCCUCUUAGCGGGGGAUAACUAUUGGAAACGAUAGCUAAUACCGCAUAAAAGUCGAUAUCGCAUGAUAUUGAUUUGAAAGGUGCAAUUGCAUCACUAAGAGAUGGACCUGCGUUGUAUUAGCUAGUUGGUGAGGUAACGGCUCACCAAGGCGACGAUACAUAGCCGACCUGAGAGGGUGAUCGGCCACACUGGGACUGAGACACGGCCCAGACUCCUACGGGAGGCAGCAGUAGGGAAUCUUCGGCAAUGGGGGCAACCCUGACCGAGCAACGCCGCGUGAGUGAAGAAGGUUUUCGGAUCGUAAAGCUCUGUUGUAAGAGAAGAACGAGUGUGAGAGUGGAAAGUUCACACUGUGACGGUAACUUACCAGAAAGGGACGGCUAACUACGUGCCAGCAGCCGCGGUAAUACGUAGGUCCCGAGCGUUAUCCGGAUUUAUUGGGCGUAAAGCGAGCGCAGGCGGUUAGAUAAGUCUGAAGUUAAAGGCUGUGGCUUAACCAUAGUACGCUUUGGAAACUGUUUAACUUGAGUGCAGAAGGGGAGAGUGGAAUUCCAUGUGUAGCGGUGAAAUGCGUAGAUAUAUGGAGGAACACCGGUGGCGAAAGCGGCUCUCUGGUCUGUAACUGACGCUUAGGCUCGAAAGCGUGGGGGAGCAAACAGG
rnacentral:rRNA from 1 species